CAUUGGUUCGUUAGGAGGGUGAUUCAUUAACUAUGGCAGGAAAGAAUAUUGUGUGCAUGGUUACCAAGUUGACGGGGAAACAAAAUUACAACUUUUGGAGGAUUCAGAUGGAGACACAUUUGAAGGCGUAUAAUUUGUUAAAAUAUACGCGAGAAGAACUGGAGGAAGGUGCCGAAUAGAAUGAAAUAAGGCGUGAUAGUAUGACCUUGUCCCAAAUACACCAGGCCAUCGAUAUGUCUG
rnacentral:lncRNA from 1 species